GCUUGUCUCAAAGAUUAAGCCAUGCAUGUCUAAGUAUAAACAAUUUUGUACUGUGAAACUGCGAAUGGCUCAUUAUAUCAGUUAUAGUCUACUCGAUAGUACCUUACUACUUGGAUAACCGUAGUAAUUCUAGAGCUAAUACAUGCAUAAAUACCCAACUGUGUAUUCGGGCGGGUAGCAUUUAUUAGAUUGAAACCAAUGCAGUCUUCGGGCUGGUGUUGUGUUGAAUCAUAAUAACUGUGCGGAUCGUGCUUUGCGCGAUAAAUCGAUUGAGUUUCUGCCCUAUCAGCUUUGGAUGGUAGGAUAUGGGCCUACCAUGGCAUUAACGGGUAACGGGGAAUUAGGGUUUGAUUCCGGAGAGGGAGCCUUAGAAACGGCUACCACAUCCAAGGAAGGCAGCAGG
rnacentral:rRNA from 1 species